GACGAACGCUGGCGGCGUGCUUAACACAUGCAAGUCGAGCGGAAAGGCCACUUCGGUGGUACUCGAGCGGCGAACGGGUGAGUAACACGUGAGUAAUCUGCCCCUGGCUUUGGGAUAGCCACCGGAAACGGUGAUUAAUACCGGAUAUGACCACGUCUCGCAUGGGGUGUGGUGGAAAGUUUUUCGGCCAGGGAUGUGCUCGCGGCCUAUCAGCUUGAUGGUGAGGUAAUGGCUCACCAUGGCUUCGACGGGUAGCCGGCCUGAGAGGGUGACCGGGCACACUGGGACUGAGACACGGCCCAGACUCCUACGGGAGGCAGCAGUGGGGAAUAUUGGACAAUGGGCGGAAGCCUGAUCCAGCAACGCCGCGUGAGGGAUGACGGCCUUCGGGUUGUAAACCUCUUUCAGUACCGACGAAGCGCAAGUGACGGUAGGUACAGAAGAAGGACCGGCCAACUACGUGCCAGCAGCCGCCGUAACAC
rnacentral:rRNA from 1 species